rnacentral:misc_RNA from 3 species
AAAUCUCAACCUCCUUGGUUUCUUCUGGAGACCGAAGGAGGCUUGGACUUUGGAGGUGUUUGCUGGACUUUCGAAAGGCCAGCUCCUCUUAAAUGAAUUAGCGGGGUCCUCUUUGCCGGUCCUUGACAUGUGAUAAGAUGCUUCCGUGUCUCGGUUUCUGGCUCUGUUGCUUUUGGGACCCGCUCCUAACCGUCUAGACCUAGGUUGAGACAACGUUCGAGGAAACCUCCUCGACCUCACGAAC